CAGUCGCCGCGGGAAUACGAAGGGUGCAAGCGUUACUCGGAAUUACUGGGCGUAAAGCGUGCGCAGGCGGUUAUAUAAGACAGAUGUGAAAUCCCCGGGCUCAACCUGGGACCUGCAUUUGUGACUGUAUAGCUAGAGUACGGUAGAGGGGGAUGGAAUUCCGCGUGUAGCAGUGAAAUGCGUAGAUAUGCGGAGGAACACCGAUGGCGAAGGCAAUCCCCUGGACCUGUACUGACGCUCAUGCACGAAAGCGUGGGGAGCAAACAGGAUUAGAUCCCCUGUAGUCCCUGUCUCUUAUACA
rnacentral:rRNA from 1 species